rnacentral:rRNA from 1 species
AAGACCUUGCACUUUUGGAGCGGCCGAUGUCUGAUUAGCUAGUUGGUGGGGUAAUGGCCUACCAAAGCGUCGAUCAGUAGCUGGUCUGAGAGGACGGCCAGCCACACUGGGACUGAGACACGGCCCAGACUCCUACGGGAGGCAGCAGUGGGGAAUUUUGGACAAUGGGCGCAAGCCUGAUCCAGCCAUGCCGCGUGAGUGAAGAAGGCCUUCGGGUUGUAAAGCUCUUUCAGCCGGGAAGAAAAGGUUGCGAUUAAUAAUCGCAAUUUAUGACGGUACCGGAAGAAGAAGCACCGGCUAACUACGUGCCAGCAGCCGCGGUAAUACGUAGGGUGCGAGCGUUAAUCGGAAUUACUGGGCGUAAAGGGUGCGCAGGCGGUUUUGUAAGUCAGAUGUGAAGUCCCCGGGCUUAACCUGGGAACU